rnacentral:rRNA from 1 species
GACGAACGCUGGCGGCGUGCUUAACACAUGCAAGUCGAACGGAAAGGCCCUGCUUUUGUGGGGUUCUCGAGUGGCGAACGGGUGAGUAACACGUGAGUAACCUGCCCUUGACUUUGGGAUAACUUCAGGAAACUGGGGCUAAUACCGGAUAGGAUCUCCUGCUGCAUGGUGGGGGUUGGAAAGUUUCGGCGGUUGGGGAUGGACUCGCGGCUUAUCAGCUUGUUGGUGGGGUAGUGGCUUACCAAGGCUUUGACGGGUAGCCGGCCUGAGAGGGUGAACGGCCACAUUGGGACUGAGAUACGGACCAGACUCCUACGGGAGGCAGCAGUGGGGAAUAUUGCACAAUGGGCGGAAGCCUGAUGUAGCAACGCCGCGUGCGGGAUGACGGCCUUCGGGUUGUAAACAGCUUUCGCCUGUGACGAAGCGUGAGUGACGGUAAUGGGUAAAGAAGCACCGGCUAACUACGUG